GCCCGCUUGGCUAAGUGGUAUAGCGUGUCACUAGUACGCCUAGAUGUCAUGACAAGAUCAGCGGUUCGAUUCCGCUAGUGGGCA